AGCAUUUAUAUGUGAUUUUGUUUAACUUCUAGACAAAGACUCAUAGACAGGUGCAAAAACUAAAUCUACUUUUGCAGCCCAGACUCAUAGUUCAAUAUGAGUUUUGAUACAUAUAAGGAGGAAUAUA
rnacentral:snoRNA from 1 species